rnacentral:rRNA from 1 species
ACUGGCUCAGGACGAACGCUGGCUGCGUGCUUAACACAUGCAAGUCGAACGCUGAAGCCUGGUGCUUGCACCGGGUGGAUGAGUGGCGAACGGGUGAGUAACACGUGAGUAACCUGCCCCUGACUUCGGGAUAAGCCCGGGAAACUGGGUCUAAUACCGGAUACGACUGCCGGACGCAUGUCUGGUGGUGGAAAGUUUUUUCGGUUGGGGAUGGGCUCGCGGCCUAUCAGUUUGUUGGUGAGGUAAUGGCUCACCAAGACGACGACGGGUAGCCGGCCUGAGAGGGCGACCGGCCACACUGGGACUGAGACACGGCCCAGACUCCUACGGGAGGCAGCAGUGGGGAAUAUUGCACAAUGGGGGAAACCCUGAUGCAGCGACGCAGCGUGCGGGAUGACGGCCUUCGGGUUGUAAACCGCUUUCAGCAGGGAAGAAGCGCAAGUGACGGUACUGCAGA